UACGUAGGUGGCAAGCGUUGUCCGGAAUUAUUGGGCGUAAAGCGCGCGCAGUCGGUCUUUUAAGGCUGAUGUGAAAUCUCGGGGCGCAACCCCGAGCGGCCAUUGUAAACGGGGAGACUUGAGUACAGAAGAGGAGAGUGGAGUUCCACGUGUAGCGGUGAAAUGCGUAGAUAUGUGGAGGAACACCAGUGGCGAAGGCGACUCUCUGGUCUGUAACUGACGCUGAGGCGCGAAAGCGAGGGGAGCAAACAGG
rnacentral:misc_RNA from 1 species